AGAAUGCCUCAAAAUCCCUCUUCUCUAAGCUAAGCUAAAAAAAAUGCACAAAAUCAUACCUUUCCUCUUUCUUUCUAUUCCCUGAGGCAUUUUCCCAAAUGGGGUGGCUCCAAUCCCUCUUCUCCCCAUUGAAGAAGCUCUGGUUUCGCCUCCAUUCUUCCCCCGAAAAACGAAGAGGGAUAUAUAUUCUGUAUGAGGAUGUAAAAUCCUGUCCCUGUGAAGAUGUGCAUGUGCUUUGGUCAAUCUUAGUGGAAUCACACACUCCAUACAACAAAACAAUGAAACUUUCAGCCUCCUAAGCACACCUUCCCCACCAAUGUACAUAAAAUAUUUAAAAAAAACCUCAAAAAUAAAAGUUUUCCUUCAUCAAUUUUCAUCUUUUUUUGUUCUAAAUUUUUGUGUAGCUGCUUACAGUUGCUUUGUCUAUUUCAGCAGUUAAGGUGGCAGUUGAAUUCUAAAUAUUAUAUGUUUAAGGUUUGAUUCUGAUAAUGACAUGAGACAACUAUUGAA